rnacentral:rRNA from 1 species
GAUGAACGCUGGCGGCGUGCCUAAUACAUGCAAGUCGAGCGAACAGACGAGGAGCUUGCUCCUCUGACGUUAGCGGCGGACGGGUGAGUAACACGUGGAUCACCUACCUAUAAGACUGGGAUAACUUCGGGAAACCGGAGCUAAUACCGGAUAAUAUAUUGAACCGCAUGGUUCAAUAGUGAAAGACGGUUUUGCUGUCACUUAUAGAUGGAUCCGCGCCGCAUUAGCUAGUUGGUAAGGUAACGGCUUACCAAGGCAACGAUGCGUAGCCGACCUGAGAGGGUGAUCGGCCACACUGGAACUGAGACACGGACCAGACUCCUACGGGAGGCAGCAGUAGGGAAUCUUCCGCAAUGGGCGAAAGCCUGACGGAGCAACGCCGCGUGAGUGAUGAAGGUCUUCGGAUCGUAAAACUCUGUUAUUAGGGAAGAACAAAUGUGUAAGUAACUAUGCACGUCUUGACGGUACCUAAUCAGAAAGCCACGGCUAACUACGUG